AACAUCGCGCACCUGCGGGAACCUGCGGAGGGAUCAUUACCAAAAAACUACAAAAGUGUAGUGGAUUUGAUGGUGGUUAGAGAGUGUACCUAAUAUUAUGUGUAUGCAUGAUGUAUAAGGCACUUGUAUAUACCCCAUUUACUAUAUUAGAUGUAGUAACAGUAGUAAUCAUAGUAGCAGCAUUAUUAUCACACUGUACUAAGUGCGUGUGUGUAUAUGAUGUAUGCGUGUGUGUGUAGU
rnacentral:misc_RNA from 1 species